UCGGCCUCUCGGCGGCCUUGGCGGCGUUUAGGAUCCUAACGCCAUUGUCUCCGUUGGGACGCUGCGGAUGACCCUACGUAGCCUUCGGCUGGCUACCGGGAAGACUGCGUCUCAUCUGACGAUCGUAACAAAGAUUUACCGUGCUUUCCUGAGGGUUUAGUCGCCCUAAUAUGUGUAGCAGGCUAACCUCGUGGAAGUGUGUCUGCCAGGAAGUAAGCCCGAAAGGACAUGUUGGGCUCUUAGGAAAGUUGGUGACUAAACUCUGCUUAUGCCGAAUGCCCGGCUGAGAUCCAGAACCCAGAAAGAAGGGGGCCUGCUUGGCCAACGUGGCUGAUCGGGAUGGGGGCAGAUGUGAUUUUAGACCAUGGACCUGAGGUAUGUCCUCUGACCUCACCAGGGUAAUACAGGCUUUGGGCAGCUCUAAAUUUACCCUGGUAGCUAGCCCACAUCCUAAGUUAUGAACUAGAUUUGGGUUGGCUUGGGUUUGGCUCCAUUUCCAAGACUGAAGUAAGGUCUAUGGUGGUGACACUGGAGUGGAGGACCCUCUAAGACUCUGCAUCUCUGUCUAAAUGAACAUGGCCUUAAAAGAUAAGUAUGGGGCUGGAGAGAUGGCUCAGCAGUUAAGAGCACUGACUGCUCUUUCGAAGAUCGUAAGUUCAAAUGCCAGCAACCACAUGGUGGCUCACAACCAUCCAUAAUGCGAUCUUCUGGGGUGUCUGAAGACAGCUACAGUGUAUUUAACAUAUAAUAAAUAAAUAUUUUUUAAAAAAGAGAAGUAUGAGUUGGGUAGUGGUAGCUGGUCACUUGAGUUCAAGGUCAGCCUGGACUAUAAAGAAAGUUCCAGGAUAGCCAGGACUUACACAAAGAAACCCCGUCUUGAAAAACUAAAAAAGGGGGGGAGAAUGAUAAAGAGAGGGAAACCGGCUGGGUGCUGAGACACAAAUAAACU